GAUAAACGCUGGCGGCGUGCCUAAUACAUGCAAGUCGAGCGAACGGACGAGAAGCUUGCUUCUCUGAUGUUAGCGGCGGACGGGUGAGUAACACGUGGAUAACCUACCUAUAAGACUGGGAUAACUUCGGGAAACCGGAGCUAAUACCGGAUAAUAUUUUGAACCGCAUGGUUCAAAAGUGAAAGACGGUCUUGCUGUCACUUAUAGAUGGAUCCGCGCUGCAUUAGCUAGUUGGUAAGGUAACGGCUUACCAAGGCAACGAUGCAUAGCCGACCUGAGAGGGUGAUCGGCCACACUGGAACUGAGACACGGUCCAGACUCCUACGGGAGGCAGCAGUAGGGAAUCUUCCGCAAUGGGCGAAAGCCUGACGGAGCAACGCCGCGUGAGUGAUGAAGGUCUUCGGAUCGUAAAACUCUGUUAUUAGGGAAGAACAUAUGUGUAAGUAACUGUGCACAUCUUGACGGUACCUAAUCAGAAAGCCACGGCUAACUACGUGCCAGCAGCCGCGGUAAUACGUAGGUGGCAAGCGUUAUCCGGAAUUAUUGGGCGUAAAGCGCGCGUAGGCGGUUUUUUAAGUCUGAUGUGAAAGCCCACGGCUCAACCGUGGAGGGUCAUUGGAAACUGGAAAACUUGAGUGCAGAAGAGGAAAGUGGAAUUCCAUGUGUAGCGGUGAAAUGCGCAGAGAUAUGGAGGAACACCAGUGGCGAAGGCGACUUUCUGGUCUGUAACUGACGCUGAUGUGCGAAAGCGUGGGGAUCAAACAGGAUUAGAUACCCUGGUAGUCCACGCCGUAAACGAUGAGUGCUAAGUGUUAGGGGGUUUCCGCCCCUUAGUGCUGCAGCUAACGCAUUAAGCACUCCGCCUGGGGAGUACGACCGCAAGGUUGAAACUCAAAGGAAUUGACGGGGACCCGCACAAGCGGUGGAGCAUGUGGUUUAAUUCGAAGCAACGCGAAGAACCUUACCAAAUCUUGACAUCCUUUGACAACUCUAGAGAUAGAGCCUUCCCCUUCGGGGGACAAAGUGACAGGUGGUGCAUGGUUGUCGUCAGCUCGUGUCGUGAGAUGUUGGGUUAAGUCCCGCAACGAGCGCAACCCUUAAGCUUAGUUGCCAUCAUUAAGUUGGGCACUCUAAGUUGACUGCCGGUGACAAACCGGAGGAAGGUGGGGAUGACGUCAAAUCAUCAUGCCCCUUAUGAUUUGGGCUACACACGUGCUACAAUGGACAAUACAAAGGGCAGCGAAACCGCGAGGUCAAGCAAAUCCCAUAAAGUUGUUCUCAGUUCGGAUUGUAGUCUGCAACUCGACUACAUGAAGCUGGAAUCGCUAGUAAUCGUAGAUCAGCAUGCUACGGUGAAUACGAUCCGGGGUCU
rnacentral:rRNA from 1 species